AUGGCCCGCCCAUGUUACGUGUAUCUUAAGUUGAAGAUGCCUGGACCCAGAGGUGUGAUCACAGUCACGGGGAAUCAACAGAGAGCAGAGGAAUGCCUCCAGAAAGGCUCCAAGAUUGCUGACGAGCAAAUGGCAGCGGUGGAGCUGGAAGAAUACAAGAAAAGCGCCGACCCGAGUGAGUUGUUACGAGCUAAGAAACUCGCUUCAGAGUCAGCAUUUCAGUCGGCCGGCGAAACAAAACCAGUCCAAAUUCACCCGGAAGAUCCCUCUGCUGCUCCGACUCACAUUUCAACGACACUCGACAGCAAAUAG
rnacentral:rRNA from 1 species